AAUAGAUACCCAGGUAGUCCACGCCGUAAACGGUGGGCACUAGGUGUGGGCGACAUUCCACGUCGUCCGUGCCGCAGCUAACGCAUUAAGUGCCCCGCCUGGGGAGUACGGCCGCAAGGCUAAAACUCAAAGGAAUUGACGGGGGCCCGCACAAGCGGCGGAGCAUGUGGCUUAAUUCGACGCAACGCGAAGAACCUUACCAAGGCUUGACAUACACCGGAAACGUCCAGAGAUGGGCGCCCCCUUGUGGUCGGUGUACAGGUGGUGCGUGGCUGUCGUCAGCUCGUGUCGUGAGAUGUUGGGUUAAGUCCCGCAACGAGCGCAACCCUUGUCCCGUGUUGCCAGCAGGCCCUUGUGGUGCUGGGGACUCACGGGAGACCGCCGGGGUCAACUCGGAGGAAGGUGGGGACGACGUCAAGGUCAUCAUGCCCCUUAUGUCUUGGGCUGCACACGUGCUACAAUGGCCGGUACAAUGAGCUGCGAUACCGCGAGGUGGAGCGAAUCUCAAAAAGCCGGUCUCAGUUCGGAUUGGGGU
rnacentral:rRNA from 1 species